CCCAGAGAGAGGAAGUAAUUUGCCCAGGGUGAGGAAGGGAGAAGGCUGGUCUUAUUGAAAGGGGUGAAAGGGGUAGAAUAGAAAAUAAGAUUUUUUUCCUCUUUCUUUUCUUCCUUCUCCAUUAUAGCCUUAGGUGAUUACUAAUAGAAUGUGUAACCAAUUAAUCAAAUAUACACAUUUAACCUUAUGUUCCAGCUGAGAUUUCAUUGCAGUUAAGAGUUGACCAGGAAAGAACAAAGGAAUUUUUAACCCAGCCCUGAACCUAAAUGCCAGGUCCCCAGGUAUGCGGAGACUGGACGAUUGCACCCCAGAAACACCUGGAUGACGCACACCGACCACUGCCUGACUGGCUGUGAGAUCCUUAUCAGAACACUGACCGUUCUGUUCCAGGAAUCAGUGAUGAAAAUGUUCAUCAAGAUCAAAACCCCCUCUCCAUACUCCCCCUGUAUAAACUUGCCCCUGAGGAGCUUUGGGAAGGUGGGUGUUAGGGUUUUUAUCCACUAUCUUCUCUGAUUUCUGGAAUGUGAUAUUAGAUGCACACUUAGAAUCUAACCCCUGUCUCUGCUUUUUGGGUUGGUGGUGAAAGGCAGCACAAGCCUCAGACUUGGUUGGCCUCCAUUUCAUCAUGAGCAGCAUCCCAGUAUGCCAGGCCCAUCUCUAGUAGUUAUUAGGAAGCAUUGGUGGGGGGUUUGGAAAGCUCCACCUCAAUAUGUGCCUUGGUGAUAUGCAGAUUGUUUUGAGCUCAAGGCAACUUCAGCUGUGGGCUCAAAAGAAACUUCUGCCCCUCCAUUAACUGCCUGAAAGACUUGAAUUAGAGGACUUGCUCAUAAAAGGAGAUCAGGCAUAACGUUUUUAGACCUUAUCUAGGAGGCAGGGCAAACUUUUGAUUACUAAACAUCUGCUAUUCUUGUCAUCUUGCAAUGGCCCUUUGAAGCCCCCAAGUCACCUUGCCUCAACCAUAGCCAGAAUGUCAUUUAUGCAUAUUUUACCUUUCUUUCUUUAAACUUCUCAUACAUGUGGAUCUUUGACCCUGUCCUGUUGUGGGGUUCAUAUACACAUACAUUUACAUUAUUUUCUCUUGUUAAUCUGUCCAGUAUCUAUUUGAUUGUUAGAUCAGCUAAAAGAACCUUGAGGGUGGAGGAAAGUGCCUUCUUCCCCCCACCCCAUGAUUUCCAGGUGCCUCAUUGCUAGGUUGAAAUGUCACCUUUCCUGUUAGAUCUCUUUUGACAUUACAGGCUGAUGUAGGAAGUUGGGGCUCCUUUUCUGCACAGAGACUGUUAGGUGUCAGGCCCUGUGCCAGCAUUAAGCACAAGAGGUGAACAAGAGUUUCCUGUGUCCCUCCCUUCUAGGGCAUGUACGUUUUUGCCCUUAUCACACUGGUAAACAUAAGUAUUUGUAUAUCCAUGCACCUUUUCCAUCAGAUGUAAGCAUUCAAAGGCAGCAAGUACACAUUAUUCACCUUUAUCUCCCUAGAUUCUGGCUUGAAAACACUCAGGAAGUAUUGUGGAUGUUAAAUGCACUUAAUAACAUUAUCUUGGUUUCUAGGCCUGAAAGCCAAAUUCAAUUGGGCAUGAGGAGUUGCCCUUGAAAAUAGAGAAGUGAAAGUGCUCUCUAAUGUAGACGCAAAUUGCAAAGGCAAUGGGGAGGAGACACAACACCCUAUGUCUAGGUUUCAUUGCCUUUUACUUAGGGUUAAAAGCUGGCAUCAUAUGUUUGAGCUAAUACACUGAACAGUUUAGAGAUACAGUGGCAGAGUACCAAUGCCUUCCUGAUUCUCUGGGAAAGUAUGUCAUUGGUUGUUAAAACAUUAAAACUUUUACUUGGUCAUCAAUAUUGAAGAGCUGAACAGUGAAGUUGGAAAUUUAUGGGUGUAAUCAAAGUAGCACACAACUUUGAAGAAGGUCUAAAACGAUCUUUAUUCAAUGAACGAUAAGUAGAAAGUGAUCCUGGUGACCCCUUAGUCUAAUGGAUUCAUUUAAUACCAGGAAAUGGAGAUCAAGAGAUAACAACUUGGCGAAUGAAUGCCACACUGCAAGUUACUGAGAUUCAAGAAUAAACCUCAGGUUCCUAAAAAUGCUUCAGAGCCCUAAAGGUGAACCAGGUACCUUGUUAUUCAUCGUAAGUGCUUCCACCACAACUGAGUUUAUGUUAAUUAAAGUGACAUUUGCAAAGCACCUAAGGAUGGGGGCUGGUUGCCAGGGGAACCAACCCUGAACAGAGGGUAAGAAACUUUUAUCCCACCCCAGAUUCCGUGGGAGGAGGGAAGGGACUAGAGGUCAGACUAAUCACCAGUGGCUAAUAGGUUAAUCAAUCACACCUAUGUAAUGAAACCUCCGGAACAACCCAAAAGGAGGAGGUUGGGAGAGCUUCUGCAAUGGGGAACCAGAACACACCCAGGUGCUACCAUGCCAGACUGCAAGCUCCAUGAGGACAGAAGCCCCUUUGAACCUUGCUCCAUAUGUAUCUUCCCAGCUGGCUGAUGAUUGGUAUCCUUUAAAAUCCUCUGCAAUAAACUGAAAAUCUAGUGAA